rnacentral:rRNA from 1 species
AGAGUUUGAUCAUGGCUCAGAUUGAGCGCUGGCGGUAUGCUUAACACAUGCAAGUCGAACGCGAAAGCACCUUCGGGUGUAAGUAGAGUGGCGGACGGGUGAGUAAGGCAUGGGAAUCUGCCCUAUAGCGGGGGAUAACUUGGGGAAACCCAAGCUAAUACCGCAUACACCUACGGGUAAAAGAUGGCCUCUUCUUGAAAGCUAUUACUAUAGGAUGAGCCCAUGUAAGAUUAGCUAGUUGGUAGGGUAAAAGCCUACCAAGGCUACGAUCUUUAGCUGGUCUGAGAGGACGAUCAGCCACACUGGGACUGAGACACGGCCCAGACUCCUACGGGAGGCAGCAGUGGGGAAUAUUGGACAAUGGGGGCAACCCUGAUCCAGCAAUACCGCGUGUGUGAAGAAGGCCUGCGGGUUGUAAAGCACUUUUAUCUGUGAGGAAGGGUUUAAUGUUAAUACCAUUAGACAUUGACG